rnacentral:rRNA from 1 species
GACGAACCGUGCGAACGUUGUUCGGAAUCACUGGGCUUAAAGGGCGCGUAGGCGGACCAUCAAGUCAGGGGUGAAAUCCUCCAGCUUAACUGGAGAACAGCCUCUGAUACUGGUGGUCUGGAGUGGGGUAGGGGCAUGCGGAACUGGUGGUGGAGCGGUGAAAUGCGUAGAUAUCACUAGGAACGCCGGUGGCGAAAGCGGCGUGCUGGACCCCAACUGACGCUGAGGCGCGAAAGCCAGGGGAGCAAACGGG